AGCCUGUGAUGAAUAAAAAAGAAUAAGAGUAGUGGACAGAAGCAAUUUCUGAAAAAGUUGGUUCUGAGGCU